AUACUUAUCUGGAAGGGGAGAUACCAUGAUCAGAAAGUUGGUUUUUCCUGGGUGAGGCUUAUCUCUUGCACUCCAGAUGUGCUGACCCUAGCGAUUGCCACAAAGGUGGGAAACUCAACUGCAUAAUUCGUGGUAGUGGGGGACCGCGUUCAUGCUUUCCCAUG